UUUAAAUUAUUUCAUAUUCUAAUUUCAACCUCAACUCUAUUAUCAAAAUUUUAAGUUUUUACAUUCUUCUAUUAUUACCACCUUAAUUAUCAUUACUUAGAGCUCUAAAUCAAGUCUCUUCUUUUUCACCAAAAUUUCAUUUUCUUUCCAUUAUCCCAUACAAUAUGUUCUUAUCAUUUUUUUCGUCACUUCUACCACAACUAUCUCUACAUCAACCUUAACAUUGUUCGUUAUUAUCUACCGCACUAUCUCAUCAUUGCUACGGUCCAUACACAUUCACUAACAAUAACAAUAGAGAUGAGAGCAAUAAAAAAAAAAGCCAAAUUGAAGUGAGAAAGAGAGACAACAAUGGAGGGGUGUGUGUGAGAGAGAACACUCCAAAGGAGGAGGGAGGGAUCGGAGAAGUGGCGGUGGCUGUGGACUGUCACUCUUAACUUUUGUGACAUGAUCACUAUUUUUGUUUUUUGCGGCACAAUCGGCGUCGAUUCCUCCUCUAUUAACGCUAACAUCGUCAAUGGCACCACCUUCUUCAAGAUAUUCAAGAUUCUUCGAUUUCUCUCUAUUAUUCUUCUCUUGAAUUUUUUUUUUUUGAAGAAAAUUUGAAUAUUUUUGUGGUUUAAUUAUUUGCAGUUAUAUAUUGUUGUUAGGGAGCUACUCAAAUAAAGAUGCAAAAAACAUCUUUUUAUGAAGAUGCUUUGUAUAAAAGUGUGAUUUAUUGAUUUGGCCACACUUCAAAUAGAAACAACACUUUUAUAACAUAUCAAAAUCUAACCCUACACUCCAUCAUCUAAGGGUCAAAAAGAAAAAUCAUCACAUGAAGACAAUUAUAAUAUCUUCAUGGGAGUACCCACCUUAUUUUAAUACAUUGA